CCUACGGGUGGCAGCAGUGGGGAAUAUUGCACAAUGGGGGAAACCCUGAUGCAGCGACGCCGCGUGAGUGAAGAAGUAAUUCGUUACGUAAAGCUCUAUCAGCAGGGAAGAAAUACUGACCUUACGGUCAGCAGACGGUACCUGAGUAAGAAGCCCCGGCUAACUACGUGCCAGCAGCCGCGGUAAUACGUAGGGGGCAAGCGUUAUCCGGAUUUACUGGGUGUAAAGGGAGCGUAGACGGUGCGCCAAGUCUGGAGGGAAAUGCCGCAGCUUAACUGCGGAACUGCUUUGGAAACUGGCGAACUAGAGUGCGGGAGGGGUAAGCGGAAUUCCUAGUGUAGCGGUGAAAUGCGUAGAUAUUAGGAGGAACGCCGGUGGCGAAGGCGGCUUACUGGACCGUAACUGACGUUGAGGCUCGAAAGCGUGGGGAGCAAACAGGAUUAGAUACCCGGGUAGUC
rnacentral:rRNA from 1 species